rnacentral:rRNA from 1 species
UACGUACGAGGCAAGCGUUAUCCGGAAUUACUGGGCGUAAAGCGCACGUAGGCGGCUUUGUAAGUUAGAGGUGAAAGCCCAGGGCUUAACCCUGGAAUUGCCUUUAAGACUGCAUCGCUAGAAUCGUGGAGAGGUGAGUGGAAUUCCGAGUGUAGAGGUGAAAUUCGUAGAUAUUCGGAAGAACACCAGUGGCGAAGGCGACUCACUGGACACGGUAUUGACGCUGAGGUGCGAAAAGCGUGGGGAGCAAACAGG